GGAUCAUUACUGAGUUUACGCUCUAUAACCCUUUGUGAACAUACCUAUAACUGUUGCUUCGGCGGGUAGGGUCUCCGCGACCCUCCCGGCCUCCCGCCUCCGGGCGGGUCGGCGCCCGCCGGAGGAUAACCAAACUCUGAUUUAACGACGUUUCUUCUGAGUGGUACAAGCAAAUAAUCAAAACUUUUAACAACGGAUCUCUUGGUUCUGGCAUCGAUGAAGAACGCAGCGAAAUGCGAUAAGUAAUGUGAAUUGCAGAAUUCAGUGAAUCAUCGAAUCUUUGAACGCACAUUGCGCCCGCCAGCAUUCUGGCGGGCAUGCCUGUUCGAGCGUCAUUUCAACCCUCAAGCUCUGCUUGGUGUUGGGGCCCUACAGCUGAUGUAGGCCCUCAAAGGUAGUGGCGGACCCUCCCGGAGCCUCCUUUGCGUAGUAACUUUACGUCUCGCACUGGGAUCCGGAGGGACUCUUGCCGUAAAACCCCCCAAUUUUCCAAAGGUUGACCUCGGAUC
rnacentral:rRNA from 1 species